rnacentral:rRNA from 1 species
AUGCUUCCUUCUCUUAAAGUGCUUCGCUUGUCCGACUGUGGACUCAAUGGUACCAUGUCUGCUAGUAUAUCAAUUUCCAACCUCACACAUCUCGAGGCCCUUGAUAUGAAUUAUAACACCUUCUACACUUCACUCAAGCACGCGUGGUUUUGGAAUCUCACGGGCCUUAAAGAGCUUCACCUCUCAGAUACCGGCUUGGAAGGGUCAAUUCCUAGUGAGUUGGCAAACAUGACGUCCCUUCAAGUCAUAGACUUCAGUGAGAAUGAUCUCGUGGGUUUGAUACCAAACAAAUUAGAAAAUUUGUGCAAUUUGACAAGGAUGAGGUUCAAUGGUAACAACAUAGGUUCAAGCAUAGGGGAGUUCAUGGGGCGUUUGCCAAAGUGCUCAUGGAACACACUGCAAGAAUUGUCAGUGUGGGGUGGAAAUAUGUCGGGGAAUCUGCCCAUUUGGAUAGGGAACAUGACCAAUCUUAGUGUUCUUGAAGCAUCUCAAAACAUGUUGACUGGCCCUCUGCCUGUAGGAGUUGGAGGACUGGGUAAUUUGAAAAUGUUGGACCUCAGGUACAAUAACUUCAAUGGUGUUCUCUUGAAAGAACAUUUUGCAAGCUUAGGAAAAUUAGAGGCUUUGUGCCUCAGCUACAAUAACUUCAACGGUGUGCUCUAUAAAGAACAAUUUGCAAGCUUAGGCAAAUUAGAGGUAUUGGACUUCAGCCACAAUAAGUUCAGCGGUGUGCUCUUUAAAGAACAAUUUGCAAGCUUAGGCAAAUUAGAGGUAUUGGACUUCAGCCACAAUAACUUCAACGAUUGA